UACGUAGGGUGCAAGCGUUAAUCGGAAUUACUGGGCGUAAAGCGUGCGCAGGCGGUUGUGCAAGACAGAUGUGAAAUCCCCGGGCUUAACCUGGGAACUGCAUCCGAUACUGGAUGGCUUGAAUCCGGGAGAGGGAUGCGGAAUUCCAGGUGUAGCGGUGAAAUGCGUAGAUAUCUGGAGGAACACCGGUGGCGAAGGCGGCAUCCUGGACCGGCAUUGACGCUGAGGAGCGAAAGCCAGGG
rnacentral:rRNA from 1 species